GUAUUAUUUGAAAUAAAAAUGGAUAUCAUUUUUAAUUUUUAUCAGGUUUUUAAAUUAUUUUUUAGUGAGAAAGAAGAUUAAAAAAAAUUUAUAUUGAUCCGUACAUAGAUUGGUAUGAAAAAAAUAAAAAGCCUAAAAUUAGAGAAUUUUAUCUGUACAUCUUAGAAUGAGAUGUAGAUCUUACAUCUUUUGUUCUAGUAGAAUUUGCACAUCUCAAAAUAAUUAAUAUGUAAUACAUCUUACAUCCUCUAUUAUAAUAUUCACAAAAAUUCAAUAAUUUUUUUGUAUUUCAAAAAAUAAUUUGACAAAAUAUGGAACAAUUCUUUAACCCUCGGAUGAGGGGGUGUGGGAUACACACUUAGGUAUCGUUUGGUUCGGGGAUAAGGAAAAAGUGGAUAUUCCAGAGAUAGGUAUAAAUUGAGGUAUAAGCGAGGAUUAGAUCAAUUUUGCGUUUGGAUGAAAAUUGGGUUAUUCCUAGAAUAAAAAAAAUAGCGUUUGGUUAGGUAAGAUGGAAUAAGAAAGAUAAUGGGUUUUGUAAAUAAAAAAUAAUGAUAUUAUCCACUUAUUAUAUUUGAAUUUGAAUUUUUAAAUUUUUAAAUUUAUAUUUCUAAAUUUAAAAUUUUAACUUUGAAAUUUAAAAUCUCAAAUUUUAAAUUCAAAAUUUUAAAUUUUAAAUUUCAAA
rnacentral:lncRNA from 1 species